rnacentral:lncRNA from 1 species
CUAGUGUACAAUGCUGAAGCUGAGUUGUUCUUUCACAUCUAGAUUCUCCCCAGGACUCUCCUUUGUGCUGUUCUGCUGCUGCUGCUGCUUGUAUCGGUGCUGAGCAAGGGCAAGGCCAAGUGCAGCAUUGUGGAAAUCCUGCGGCAAUACCAAGCCGUGAUCUUUGAUGAGCUCCAGAACCUGAAAAACUUGACUCGAUCUGCUGAAACCCCAAGGAGGGGGAGAGCUGGCCCAGCCUGCCUCUCUAACAAGGAGCAGAAAAUCCUGCUGUCUAUCUCCACCAUGAGCAUGUCUCUCAGGGACAUGGUCAGAGGCUCCUGGAGGAAUCCUGAAGUAGUGGCUGUGAUGCAGGUGGUCAGCAACACAGAGUCAGUGACCAAACAGAACUGCAAGAAAAUCCACAAGAAGAGUCUGUCAACAGUUACAGAGAAACCGCAACACAGAAGUCAGGGCAACAGGAGAAAGCAGCUGAAGAUGAUAGCGCGAACAGUGGAAAACUUGGUCACCUGCUGGGAGAAGUUGUUCUCUCUCCACUCAAAGGACUGGGACACAUAGGGUCAGUAGGAAGCAGUGCAUGGUGCUCUCUCCAUGGGUGCUGAGCACCUGGGAUUGUACCACCACCUCCAUACUGGCCAGUAAGCAACACCGAUUUCAUGGAAACUCCUUGCCUUCUGAUUUCUUGGUUCUACCGUUUGAAGCAGGCAUUCCAUUGCAUCCCAUUCUUCUCUGUUGGGAUUGGAGAGGGACACAUCUUCUGUUCAUGGCCUGCUCUGCUACUGUUCCAGGUAGCAAAUACUGAGGGUCAGAUUCAGCCCUGAAAUCAACUGAGUGGCAUCAACAGAAUUUGCUCCUUCAUUCUCAAUAAAACUUUGUUGGACAUUUCCA